GCUCAGGAUGAACGCUAGCUACAGGCUUACACAUGCAAGUCGAGGGGCAGCAUGGUCUUAGCUUGCUAAGGCCGAUGGCGACCGGCGCACGGGUGAGUAACACGUAUCCAACCUGCCGUCUACUCUUGGACAGCCUUCUGAAAGGAAGAUUAAUACAAGAUGGCAUCAUGAGUCCGCAUGUUCACAUGAUUAAAGGUAUUCCGGUAGACGAUGGGGAUGCGUUCCAUUAGAUAGUAGGCGGGGUAACGGCCCACCUAGUCUUCGAUGGAUAGGGGUUCUGAGAGGAAGGUCCCCCACAUUGGAACUGAGACACGGUCCAAACUCCUACGGGAGGCAGCAGUGAGGAAUAUUGGUCAAUGGGCGAGAGCCUGAACCAGCCAAGUAGCGUGAAGGAUGACUGCCCUAUGGGUUGUAAACUUCUUUUAUAAAGGAAUAAAGUCGGGUAUGGAUACCCGUUUGCAUGUACUUUAUGAAUAAGGAUCGGCUAACUCCGUGCCAGCAGCCGCGGUAAUACGGAGGAUCCGAGCGUUAUCCGGAUUUAUUGGGUUUAAAGGGAGCGUAGAUGGAUGUUUAAGUCAGUUGUGAAAGUUUGCGGCUCAACCGUAAAAUUGCAGUUGAUACUGGAUAUCUUGAGUGCAGUUGAGGCAGGCGGAAUUCGUGGUGUAGCGGUGAAAUGCUUAGAUAUCACGAAGAACUCCGAUUGCGAAGGCAGCCUGCUAAGCUGCAACUGACAUUGAGGCUCGAAAGUGUGGGUAUCAAACAGGAUAGA
rnacentral:rRNA from 2 species